ACUGGUGUGAGAGCACGACCAGUCACACGGGCACUGAGACACGGGCCCGACUCCUACGGGAGGCAGCAGUAAGGAAUAUUGGUCAAUGGACGCAAGUCUGAACCAGCCAUGCCGCGUGGAGGAUGAAGGCCCUCUGGGUUGUAAACUUCUUUUAUCUGGGACGAAAAAGGGACUUUCUAGUUCAACUGACGGUACCAGAGGAAUAAGCACCGGCUAACUCCGUGCCAGCAGCCGCGGUAAUACGGAGGGUGCAAGCGUUAUCCGGAUUCACUGGGUUUAAAGGGUGCGUAGGUGGGUUGGUAAGUCAGUGGUGAAAUCUCCAGGCUUUACUUGGAAACUGCCAUUGAUACUAUUAAUCUUGAAUACCGUGGAGGUCAGCGGAAUAUGUCAUGUAGCGGUGAAAUGCUUAGAUAUGACAUAGAACACCAAUUGCGAAGGCAGCUGGCUACACGAAUAUUGACACUGAUGCACGAAAGCGUGGGGAUCAAACAGGAUUAGAUACCCUGGUAGUCCACGCCCUAAACGAUGGAUACUCGACAUACGCGAUAUACUGUGUGUGUCUGAGCGAAAGCAUUAAGUAUCCCACCUGGGAA
rnacentral:rRNA from 1 species